UCGGUUUUGAAUGAGUUACUGUGAAGAAUAAAGGCAUUAAUGAGGUAAUUUCAUUAUGGAGACUCAUCCAGGCCUAUGUGAAUACAAGGGAAGUAAGUAGAGGGGAAAGCUGAAAGCUGCAGAGGAAAUUAGGGUUCCUUCCACCCUAAUUAAUGUUUGGGGGCAUUUAGUACAGGCACCAAAUUAACUGCUCCAAAGAACUCUCAUUGAAAAAAAAAAAUACAUUGUUGCCCUCCCGUAUAAUUAGGAGAGAGUACAAGGCGCAGCCUCAGCGAGUAUAAAGCCAGCCUCUAACUGACGGCGCGGUCACAGAGAGCCGGCCAUUAGGGAUGCCCGGGUCUGAGGAAGCAGCAGGCAGACAAUAUAGGAUUGUUUAGGUCCUUGGGUUCUGCGAGUUGUAAACAGGUAGCCUCUGAAUGAGGAAUUAUGAGACUCCUGGGAGGCCUGUCUUCCCAGCAAAACAGUCUUAAAUGCAUCCAAAGGGAAGAAAGAAAGGUGAAUAGGCCCGGCAGAGUUAGCAAAGAGAAUGCUUGAUGCUUGUCUUAAGUGAUUACAUGCGGCUCUGCAGGCCCCUCUCAUUGAGUUAUCUUUACACGGCUUUUGUCUCCUCUAAUUGGAGCUGAUGAGGUGCUAAUUGGAGGCCUUUUUUAAAAGCCCACUACUUUAAUCAUUGGAAAAUCUGGGGAGACUGAGGGAGUGGAGUUAAUGAGACCAAAAAAAAAAAAAGAAAGAAAGAAAACUUAUAAAGUGUAGCUUGACAAAAACUCAAGCCGCCAUCUGUGUGGAUCUGGGAGGGUGAAAGGCACAGGUUUGAUGGGAAAGAAAGGGGGGCAACCGAGAUACUUUCUGUGAAAAUUCUUUCCAAAGCAUCUUCCCGGGUUAGUAGCAGAGGAAUAAGCUGGGUAGGAUGGCUCUUCCUGGUCUUUAAUUAUCAUCAUGAGCCUGAAUUCAGGCUAAACACUUGAUGUUCCAACUCUGACUCCCUUUCAAAACUGUAGAGAGAGACUUGCAGGGAGACGGGCCUGCAUCACACUGACCUGGGUCCCUCCUCUCAGAACGCAAGCUUUUCCUGAGCCCUCUGAGACUCGUCCUGAGCGCGGAGAGGACCUUCAAUCUCAGUUCUAAAUCGCGUCGCAGGCACAGUGAAACGUGACGAUGCCAAGGAAGCACGUGUCCUUCCAGAAACCCCUUCUUGAGGGCGCCGCACCUGGCUUGCCAGCUCCUGUUCUCACAGGACCCCAUGGAAAGGAAGGAUGCCGUGGAGACUCAGAGGUGCCUAGAUUUUGUUUCUACAGUAACAUGGAAGGGCAUUCCAGGAUUUAAAAACAAAAAGAAACAGAUUUAUGUGAUCACCCACGCAUUCGGCAUCCAGCAAAUGCUGAGAUGAUUGCAAAGCGCCCUACCCCGAGCUGAGAGCUGAGGAUAGGAAGGGAAGCAAAGUCUGACCCAGCCUGGGCCCCCACGGAGCUCGCAGUCCAGUGCAGGAGGCCGGCGUUACACAAAGGUUUGCGAAAGGAAUGCUUUGAUUCCUGGUGCUGUGAUAAACGCUGCGGAAGAAAAAGCUCUGUGUGUGACGCGCACGUAGGUGGGUGUUGAGGACACGUUGUUCACCAGAGGCUCCAGGUGCCACUGAGGCAGGUGCCUGGGAGAGAGGCCCUGAGCUGCAGACAGCAGAGCCGCCCCCAGAGCGGCCGUCAGAGCAGCUUCUAAUGAGUUAAUGAGCAGCCGGAGCCUGCAGGCCGCCUGGGCGGCGGGGGGCGGGGGGAGGGCGCAGCGAAGCCCGAGCCGCGCCAGAUGCUGCAGCAGGAGGCGGGACCAGCUAUUUGCCAGUUGGCUGCAGCUUCUGAAAGAGCAAGCAGAGGGUCGAUCAGUGCAGCCUCGACCAACUCUGGGACCAUAUUUUUUCACGAUGCUUUAAGAAAUCAGAACAUUGAUCUAACCCUUGUGUUUUUGUUUGUUUGACAAAUGAAUUUGGUAAAAUAACUUGCCCAGACACAGAAAUCAAACUGAACUUCGUUAUAUAAUUACUGACUUGAUUUUAUUGGAUAAACAUCAUUAUGUGAAUUCUGGGGCACGUGAGAGCCAGGAAUUAAGAUUUCAGCAUAUUCGAUUGAGAAGAAAAUUUAAAGACUGUAAAGGCACCACCACCACCCCAAUUUGAUAAGGAAGAAAUGACCCUAGAAGGUAAGUGAAUUUCUUACGGGUCAUGCCAGUGGCAAGAUGAGCGAACAGGACUCCUGGUUUACAAUUCAGUGCGCUCUUAAGAACACCCCCACCACCAGGCUGGCCCUCCACUGGUCCACUGUGAACUUAAAAUGUACCCAUCCAAGUACAUGAAAAGUUCCUGUCCAUUACUACUAAUAAAAGAAAUGCUAAUUAAGACCCAAUGAUUGGAAAAGUUGAAAAAGUCUUAUCAGAAUGUGAGAAAACUGGGACUCCCCUGGCAGUCCAGUGGGUAAGGCUCUGAGCUUCCAGCACAGCGGGCACAGUUGGAUACCUGGUCAAGGAACUAGAAUCCUGCAUGCUGCAGAGUGCAGCCCCAAAAUUGUUGUUGUUGUUUAAUUGUUUUUAAUUUUAAAAAAAAGAAAGAAAGAAAACUAUCAAAGAUUACUGGGAUUGGAUCAAUAGGACUCAGGAGGCAACCUGAAGAGGCUCCCACUGGAGUGAUUAGAGCAUGAUUAAGGAUAGUAAUUGAAGUGGAUGAAAACACAUCAAAUACACUAAAAAUAAAAUGAAAUGCUUCAACUGUGUUAAAAGCCAUGAGCUCAAAAUGAGAACAAACAGAAAAAUAGUGUCAGCUAAUAACACAAAGAUAUAGGUCAUUUUUCAAGGACCCCUGGGAACUAGGUAGUUUGAAACUCCUUUGGAAAAAAAAAAAAAAGAACCAAGCAUUUCUCCUGCUCUUGUAAGAACUGUUGUUGUUGUUUAGUCACUAAGUCGUUUUCGACUCUUUAACUCCAUGGACUGUAGCCCACCAGGCUCCUCUGUCCAUGGGAUUCUCCAGGCAAGAAGACUGGAGUGGGUUGCCAUUUCCUUCUCCAGAGGAUCUUCCUGACCCAGGGAUUGAACCCAGGUCUUCUGCAUUGCACGUGGACUCUUUACUGACUGAGCUAGGAGGGAAAGCCAUGAGGCUUAUAUCCAUUUUAGUAAGGGGUGGGAGGGGGAACUUCAGGGAAAACAAAUGACUGCUUAGAAAUAGGGCAGAGGGAGAGGGAGAAAGGGAAGUUAAGAAAAGCAAAUGGCUUUUUAGAAAGAUCAAUGGGCCCUUGGGAGAAUAGAUAGGAAAAACGAUAGUUUUGGUUGGAUGGCAUCGCGGACUCAAUGUCCGUGAGCCUGGGCAAACUCUGGGAGAUGGUGAAGGACAGGGACGCCUGGCGGGCCGCAGUCCACGGGGUUGCAGAGAGUCGCAUACAAGUAGGCGCAGAACAACAGCGUGACAGUUUUGUGGAGAUUUUUGUUUGGGUAUGGUGCCUUCUCUUCUCCAAGAAGACAUUAGAUUUCCUUCAGGGGAGAGAAUUCAUGACCAUCAAGUGCUUUUAGGUGGAUAAGGAGUUUCAGGUGCAAACCCCAGAGUUGGAAGCACAGUCUGAGCACGUGUCCCAGAGAGGCUGAACCGAAUGGAGCCCAGUGGUUACUCUGUGAUCUUCAGUUCCCAGAUGUCCAGCUACUGAAAUUGGCAUGUUGUCCAGAGAGCCCCCUCUGACUGUGCUCUCUGACCCCUCAGUAUUCACCUCUGUACCAUUUCUCACCUUCCUGCCUUAAGUGACAGUCCAUUUACCCUGCUUGCUCUCACGGCAUUGCGUUCUACUUGACGCCCACCUGAUUUAGCCAAGUUCGUGUUAGGUUUAGCUUUCAACAGGUCUAUUAGCUGGGUGUUUUCUCAAAGAGAUGUUCGUGCAUUUUAAAGUGUUAGUAUCCAGGUCAUUAAAAAAAUAUUACAAAAUUAAAAUACAACUAGCGACCACCCGCUAAACACAGAUGCGUCCCUUGAGGCAAAAGCGUUUGGUGUGUUACAUUAUCCACUCUGGAUUUUUAAGUCUUUUUUUCGACUGUGGUACAACACACAUCACAUAAAAGUCACCAUUAGCGACAUUCAGUCCAUUUACAAUGAUGUCCAGCCGUCACCAGGGUUUUCCAGGUGGCGCGCGUGGUAAAGAACCCACCAGCCAACGCAGGAGACAUAAGAGAUGCGCGUUCCAUCCCCGGGUCAGGAAGAUCCCCUGGAGGUACCCACUAGGGUGUCCUUGCCUGGAGAAUCGCAUGGACAGAGGAGCCUGGCGGGUUACAGACCGUGAGGCCGUAAAGAGGCGGGCAGCGCUGAAGCAAAUUUUGCACUCAUCCCAGCCCAGUCAUCACCACUAUCAGUUCCUGGACAUUUUCAUCACCCCCAAAAGAAGCUCUGUCCCCACGAAACAGUCACGCCCUACUCACCCUCUCCCCUCCCUCUGGCAACCACCCAUCUGCCUUCUGUCUCUGUGGAUCUGCCGACUUUGGAAAUUUCAACUCAAUGGAAUCACGCAGUGCUGACCUACAAUGUCUGACUUGUUUCCCUUAGCAGGCUUCCACGGUGCUUUCAUGCUAUAGCACAUAUCAGCGCUUUGCUCCUUUUAUGGCUGGCUAAUAGUCCAUUGUAUGGAUAGACCAAGUUCUGUUUAUCCGUCAUCAGUUAACGGACACUUGGGUCGUAUCCCUUU